rnacentral:rRNA from 1 species
AAUUGACGGGACCGCACAAGCGGUGGAUGAUGUGGAUUAAUUCGAUGCAACGCGAAAACCUUACCUACCCUUGACAUGUCCGGAAUCCCGAAGAGAUUUGGGAGUGCUCGCAAGAGAACCGGAACACAGGUGCUGCAUGGCUGUCGUCAGCUCGUGUCGUGAGAUGUUGGGUUAAGUCCCGCAACGAGCGCAACCCUUGUCAUUAGUUGCCAUCAUUUGGUUGGGCACUCUAAUGAGACUGCCGGUGACAAACCGGAGGAAAGGUGGGGAUGACGUCAAGUCCUCAUGGCCCUUAUGGGUAGGGCUUCACACGUCAUACAAUGGUCGGUACAGAGGGUUGCCAACCCGCGAGGGGGAGCUAAUCCCACAAAGCCGAUCGUAGUCCGGAUCGCAGUCUGCAACUCGACUGCGUGAAGUCGGAAUCGCUAGUAAUCGUGGAUCAGCAUGUCACGGUGAAUACGUUCCCGGGUCUU